GAUGAACGCUGGCGGCGUGCCUAAUACAUGCAAGUCGAGCGAACAGACGAGGAGCUUGCUCCUCUGACGUUAGCGGCGGACGGGUGAGUAACACGUGGAUAACCUACCUAUAAGACUGGGAUAACUUCGGGAAACCGGAGCUAAUACCGGAUAACAUGUUGAACCGCAUGGUUCAACAGUGAAAGACGGUCUUGCUGUCACUUAUAGAUGGAUCCGCGCCGCAUUAGCUAGUUGGUAAGGUAACGGCUUACCAAGGCAACGAUGCGUAGCCGACCUGAGAGGGUGAUCGGCGACACUGGAACUGAGACACGGUCCAGACUCCUACGGGAGGCAGCAGUAGGGAAUCGUCCGCAAUGGGCGAAAGCCUGACGGAGCAACGCCGCGUGAGUGAAGAAGGUCUUCGGAUCGUAAAACUCUGUUAUUAGGGAAGAACAAAUGUGUAAGUAACUAUGCACGUCUUGACGGUACCUAAUCAGAAAGCCACGGCUAACUACGUG
rnacentral:rRNA from 1 species